GACGAACGCUGGUGGCGUGCUUAACACAUGCAAGUCGAACGGAAAGGCCCCCUUGUGGGGUACUCGAGUGGCGAACGGGUGAGUAACACGUGAGUAACCUACCCUUGACUUUGGGAUAACUUCAGGAAACUGGGGCUAAUACCGGAUAGGAGCUCCUGCUGCAUGGUGGGGGUUGGAAAGUUUCGGCGGUUGGGGAUGGACUCGCGGCUUAUCAGCUUGUUGGUGGGGUAGUGGCUCACCAAGGCUUUGACGGGUAGCCGGCCUGAGAGGGUGACCGGCCACAUUGGGACUGAGAUACGGCCCAGACUCCUACGGGAGGCAGCAGUGGGGAAUAUUGCACAAUGGGCGGAAGCCUGAUGCAGCAACGCCGCGUGCGGGAUGACGGCCUUCGGGUUGUAAACCGCUUUCGCCUGUGACGAAGCGUGAGUGACGGUAAUGGGUAAAGAAGCACCGGCUAACUACGUG
rnacentral:rRNA from 1 species